UGGUGGAGUGAUUUGUCUGCUUAAUUGCGAUAACGAACGAGACCUUAACCUGCUAAAUAGCCCGGCUAGCUUUGGCUGGUCGCGGGCUUCUUAGAGGGACUAUCGGCUCAAGCCGAUGGAAGUUUGAGGCAAUAACA
rnacentral:rRNA from 1 species